GAACAGUAACCAAUCACUGCAGUCUGAAUGCUUCUCUUUGGUCAUGUGACCAUUUGAUCUCUGAUCAGUGUGUUCUUCAGUUUCAGGCCUGUUUCUGCUGACUGCUGCAGGUGUGUGUGUGCUGCUGCUGUCUGCUCUGACCGUUUCUACAGACUCCCAGCAUGCCCCAGGGGUGGAGGUGUUUGAGAGGGCGGAGUCUGUCCUGCUGCCCUGUCAGGUACCAGCUGAUGUUUCCAGGAGUGCCACAUCAGCAGUGUGGGACCGUGAUGAGUUCAAGGUCCCAACAGUCCACGUACGUCUGCAGAGCGGAGUAGAUCUUAAAGAUCAGAACCAUCGUUACUUCAGUCGAACAUCGAUGAGAGUCGACGCUCUGCAGACUGGAGACCUCAGCCUCACUCUGAGAAACCCCACAGUCUCUGACAGUGGUAACUACACCUGCACCACCCGCA
ensembl:lncRNA